AUGGCGCUUGCUCUCCUCCUGCCCUCCCCCGCAUCCCACCGCCGCUCGCUUCGUUCUGUCUCCUCUCCGCCUCUCGCGCGUGUCACCACCGCCGCCAGCUUCGGCCUCGCGUUUUUCUCCCAUCUCUCCUCCGGCUGCUGCUCUCUGCAGAGGACUGGCGCCGCGGGCGGCGACGGCGAUGGCGCCGGCGAGACCUCAUCGGAAGAGCCGGUGGCUGGAUGGCUCGACACGGACCUGCUCAGGCGGGUCUCAGGCGCGGGGAAUGCGGACCAGGCGCUGGACAUUGUCGCAGAGUCGGCGGGAGGUUCGGGCGCCGCUCUGGAAGCGCCCGAAUGCAACGCGAUCAUCGCCGCGGCACUUGACCGAGGCAACGUCGAGCUCGCGCUCUCGGUGUUCGAAGCCAUGCGAUCCGGCUUUGCGGGAGUAGGAGGCUGGGGGUGGGCGAGACCGGACAUUCGGACAUAUGCCUUGCUCGUACAGGGGUUGGCAGCCUCCCUGCGUGUUUCUGAUGCAAUCAGGAUAAUCGAUUAUGUGUCUUGCGCUGGUGUUUCUUCUACAGAGGAGAUUCCUUUCGGGAUUAUUGUUCGCUGUCCAACCUGCAUGGUAGCAGUUGCUGUUGCUCAACCGCAGGAUGGAACUCAGGUUGUUUCCUGUUCGAAGUGUCGAUAUCAAUAUGAAUUAUUUUCUGGAGACAUUACGAGCAUUGAAUCUGAAGAAGUUAGCAUGGAUAUUUCAGCUCUGGAGAAGGCAUUGAGAUUCAUUAAUAUAAGAAAAGAUGGUCUUCCAGCUGCUGUCCACUCUAUUGUGAUCCGCGCACCUUCAGGAAUAGCACGUACUCAUAGAUUUGCUACCCAGAAUGUAGAACUCCCUGCUCGAGAAGGAGAAAGAGUAACCAUUUCGUUGGCAGCCCCAUCCAAUAUUUAUCGUGAAGUGGGUCCCCUCAAGAUUGCCGCACGCUCACAAGGAUUUAAACCAGACGAACCUAUGUGUCUGACUAAUCACAGAAAUGGACAAAUCUCAAAGUUGCUAAGAGCUCCAUCAAAGAAUGAAGGAUCAUUUUUCCUUAGCCCAUAUUUAUUGGUCGGUGCUCUUGCUUUGCUUGCUUCUGGAGAUGCUGCUUCCGUAUUCAUUGACCCAAGUCUUCCUAGACUUAUUACAGCAACUGCAGUUGCAUCAGCUGCCAUCGGAACAACUCUAAAUCAAGUGGUCCUGCCAGAAAUUCAAAAGCUUCCACAAAAGGCGGUGGAUAUAGUUGCUGUACGGCAGCAGCUUUUGUCUCAGUAUGACAUUCUUCAGAGCCGUCUUAAGGAACUGAAACAGUUUGCACAAAAAGAGGUGUGGAUGCUCGCAAGGAUGUGUCAAUUGGACAACAAAAUACUAGCAGUGGGCGAACCAUCUUAUCGUGCUAGACGAGGUAGAGUAAAGAGGGUACGGGAAAGCUUGGAAAGCACACUCUCUGCAAGGAUUGAGCUAAUGGAAAGUUAUGCAAAAUUGUGUUCAAUGAUUGAAAUUGAAAUUGAGAUGGACUCUGAUGUUAUUGCUGCUGAAGCGGCAAGCAGUGCAGAGAGGAUAUCUGAGCAAAUACAACAAUUAAUGGAGAUCGAUAGUCUUGAAGAGCAAUGGCGUAUACAAGCUGAAGCUAAUGAUGAAGCUGAAAGGCUUCUGAGUUCUGAUUCUUCAGAAACAUUGCCUGCUGGACAUAUGUAAUGCAAUUUUGGAGAGGUUGUGGCACCGUUUUUGACUCGUCACUUUGCAGGACAGUUAGGGAAAUUACUCAACAAUUCUGGUGUCGCCGAAGAGAUCCAACCCCGCAGGAAGUUGACGUCGUAGCUCCAAGUGCAGGAACUUCAGCACCAAAUGCAAGCGCAACAGACGGCGUACGAGGCGGCGUUGGCCGAAGAGAGGAGGAUACGGCAAGAGAACGAGCAGAAGCAGGCGGCCGAGAUGGCCCAGAUGUACAACUACAUUCAAAGUCUUUCUGUCCAAAUGGGUAAUCCCAUCCCAGCCUUCCCUGUGGCUCUGCUCAGAGCUCUUCACCGUGUGCCAGUAAAAAGGCACACGGCGAACCUAAACACUUUGCCGUGUGCCAAAGUCCUGGGCACACGGCGAAGAGCUCUGUUAGUGGGCCCCGCGUGAUCAAGUUCGCCGUGUGCCUAUCCAGGUGGCACACGGCGAAGUGGGAAAUUUCGCCGUGUGCCUACUUCCUGGCACACGGCGAAGUCUUCUGUCACGCCGUUAGGCCGUCCUCACGAGGUCAAUGUUUUUUUUUGUC